GUAAGGAAUAUUGGUCAAUGGACGAAAGUCUGAACCAGCCAUGCCGCGUGAAGGAUGAAUGCCCUCUGGGUUGUAAACUUCUUUUAUCUGGGACGAAAAAAGGUCAUUCUUGACCACUUGACGGUACCAGAGGAAUAAGCACCGGCUAACUCCGUGCCAGCAGCCGCGGUAAUACGGAGGGUGCAAGCGUUAUCCGGAUUCACUGGGUUUAAAGGGUGCGUAGGUGGGCGUAUAAGUCAGUGGUGAAAUCUUCGAGCUUAACUCGGAAACUGCCAUUGAUACUAUAUGUCUUGAAUGACCUGGAGGUAAGCGGAAUAUGUCAUGUAGCGGUGAAAUGCUUAGAUAUGACAUAGAACACCAAUUGCGAAGGCAGCUUACUACGGGGUGAUUGACGCUGAGGCACGAAAGCGUGGGGAUCAAACAGGAUUAGAAACCCUGGUAGUCC
rnacentral:rRNA from 1 species